rnacentral:rRNA from 1 species
UAGUCCACGCCGUAAACGAUGAUUACUCGGUGCUGGCGAUAUACUGUCAGUGCCUAAACGAAAGUGAUAAGUAAUCCACCUGGGGAGUACGAUCGCAAGGUUGAAACUCAAAGGAAUUGACGGGGGCCCGCACAAGCGGUGGAGCAUGUGGUUUAAUUCGAUGAUACGCGAGGAACCUUACCUGGGCUUAAAUGCAUAAUGACUGACUGGGAAACCAGUCGUUCUUCGGACAGAAUGCAAGGUGCUGCAUGGCUGUCGUCAGCUCGUGCUGUGAGGUGUCGGGUUAAGUCCCAUAACGAGCGCAACCCCUAUUUCUAGUUGCCAGCACAUAAUGGUGGGGACUCUAGAAAACUGACCCGCGCAAGCGGUGAGGAAGGUGGGGACGACGUCAAGUCAUCACGGCCCUUACGUCCAGGGCUACACACGUGCUACAAUGGUAGAGACAGAGGGCAGCCACUUGGUGACAAGGAGCUAAUCCUUAAACUCUAUCUCAGUUCGG